rnacentral:rRNA from 1 species
GCGAACAUGCAGUCGAACGAGAAAGGGGAUUCGUCCCUGAGUAUAGUGGCGCACGGGUGAGUAACACGUGAAUGAUCUACCUCCGAGUGGGGAAUAACCAAGAGAAAUCUUGGCUAAUACCGCAUAACACUUACGAGUCAAAGCAGCAAUGCGCUUGGAGAGGAGUUCGCGGCAGAUUAGUUAGUUGGCGGGGUAAUGGCCCACCAAGACGAUGAUCUGUAUCCGGCCUGAGAGGGCGCACGGACACACUGGAACUGAAACACGGUCCAGACUCCUACGGGAGGCAGCAGUGGGGAAUUUUGCGCAAUGGGGGAAACCCUGACGCAGCAACGCCGCGUGGAGGAUGAAGUAUCUUGGUACGUAAACUCCUUUCGAUGGGGAAGAUAAUGACGGUACCCAUAGAAGAAGCCCCGGCUAACUUCGUGCCAGCAGCCGCGGUAAUACGAGGGGGGCAAGCGUUGUUCGGAAUUAUUGGGCGUAAAGGGUGCGUAGGCGGUUUGACAAGUCUUAUGUGAAAUCUUCGGGCUCAACCCGAAGUCUGCAUGGGAAACUGUCGGGCUUGAGUAUGGGAGAGGUGAGUGGAAUUUCCGGUGUAGCGGUGAAAUGCGUAGAUAUCGGAAGGAACACCUGUGGCGAAAGCGGUCACUGGACCAUAACUGACGCUGAUGCACGAAAGCUAGGGGAGCAAACAG